rnacentral:rRNA from 1 species
GACGAACGCUGGCGGCGUGCUUAACACAUGCAAGUCGAACGGAAAGGCCCUGCUCUUGCGGGGUGCUCGAGUGGCGAACGCGUGUGUAACACGCGAGUAACCUGCCCUUGUCUUUGGGAUAACUUCAGGAAACUGGGGCUAAUACCGGAUAGGAGCUCCUGCUCCACGGGGGGGGUUGGAAAGUGACGGCGGUGGUGGAUCGUCUCGCGGCUUAUCAGCUUGUUUGUCGGGUAGUCGCUUACCAAGGGUUUGAAGGGUAGCCGGCCUGGGAGGGUGGCCGGCCACAUUGGGACUACGGUAGGGACCAGACUGCUACGGGCGGCAGCAGUGGGGAAUAUUGCGCAGUGGGCGGAAGCGUGAUGCAGAAACGUCGCGUGCGGGAUGACGGCCUUCGGGUUGUAAACCGCUUUCGCCUGUGACGAAGCGUGAGUGACGGUAAUGAGUCAAGAAGCACCGGCUAACUACGUG